rnacentral:rRNA from 1 species
UCGGCAAUGGGCGAAAGCCUGACCGAGCGACGCCGCGUGCGGGAUGAAGGCCUUCGGGUUGUAAACCGCUUUCGGAGAGGAUGAAGUGUAUUGGGGUACUCCCCUUUACUUGACAGAGUCUCAAAAGAAGCACGGGCUAAGUUCGUGCCAGCAGCCGCGGUAAUACGAACUGUGCGAACGUUAUUCGGAAUCACUGGGCUUAAAGGGUGCGUAGGCGGUGUUCUAAGUCAGGUGUGAAAUCCCCCGGCUCAACCGGGGAAUUGCGCUUGAGACUGGAUCGCUAGAGUGAGGUAGGGGUGUGUGGAACUUCCGGUGAAGCGGCGAAAUGUGUAGAUAUCGGAAGGAACGCCGGUGGCGAAAGCGACACACUGGGCCUUGUCUGACGCUGAGGCACGAAAGCUAGGGUAGCGAACGGGAUUAGAUACCCCGGUAGUCCUAGCCGUAAACACUGAACACUGGAGGGGAGGGGGUUCGCCCUUUUCCUUCGUAGCGAAAGCGUUAAGUGUUCCGCCUGGGGAGUAUGGUCGCAAGGCUGAAACUCAAAGG